rnacentral:rRNA from 1 species
UACAGAGGUCUCAAGCGUAGUUCGGAUUCAUUGGGCGUAAAGGGUGCGUAGGCGGCGCGGUAAGUCGGGUGUGAAAUCUCGGAGCUUAACUCCGAAACUGCAUUCGAUACUGCCGUGCUUGAGGACUGGAGAGGAGACUGGAAUUUACGGUGUAGCGGUGAAAUGCGUAGAUAUCGUAAGGAAGACCAGUGGCGAAGGCGGGUCUCUGGACAGUUCCUGACGCUGAGGCACGAAGGCCAGGGGAGCAAACGGG